CCCCAGAUUCGUGGGGAUUUGAGACCGGCUUGCGCCCACGUUAAACAAACAGCUAAAAGGGUCGUGUGACGAAAGUC
rnacentral:ncRNA from 19 species